rnacentral:lncRNA from 1 species
CCUGGCGUGGUGCUAAGGAAUUAGUCCGGUUCGCCGCUGUGCGCACUGCGCAUGCUCCAGCUCCAUCCUUCCCUUCCCCCACCACCCCGCCCUCCGGGAGCCACGCCCAAAAAGUCAAGGCGCUUCAGUUACCAGCCGGCUACGUCGCGCCUGCGCUUUGACCCCCAGUUUGCGCCCCCAACUCCGGUCGUGCGGCCGCCCGGGGAGGGCUCUGCAGUUGCGCAGCUUGCUCCCCGGCCCUUUUCCCCUCCGCUCCCCGCCGCCUCCUGACGCCGGGCGUGACGUCACCACGCCCGGCGGCCGCCAUUACAGAGAGCCGCGCUCUGGAGCCUCAGCGAGCGGAGGAGGAGGCGCAGCGGCCGACGGCCGAGUACUGCGGUGAGAGCCAUAGGGCCAGCGCCAGCCUCAACAGCCGCCAGAAGUACACGAGGAACCGGCGGCGGCGUGUGCGUGUAGGCCCGUGUGCGGGCGGCGGCGCGGGAGCAGCGCGGAGCGGCAGCCGGCUGGGGCGGGUGGCAUCAUGGACGAGAAGGUGUUCACCAAGGAGCUGGACCAGUGGAUCGAGCAGCUGAACGAGUGCAAGCAGCUGUCCGAGUCCCAGGUCAAGAGCCUCUGCGAGAAGGGCUAAAGAAAUCCUGACAAAAGAAUCCAACGUGCAAGAGGUUCGAUGUCCAGUUACUGUCUGUGGAGAUGUGCAUGGGCAAUUUCAUGAUCUCAUGGAACUGUUUAGAAUUGGUGGCAAAUCACCAGAUACAAAUUACUUGUUUAUGGGAGAUUAUGUUGACAGAGGAUAUUAUUCAGUUGAAACAGUUACACUGCUU